GGAGCGGUGUCCGAGCGGUUUAAGGAGGCGGUCUUGAAAACCGUUGAACCCGCGAGGGUUCCGGGGGUUCGAAUCCCCCCUGCUCCGCUA
rnacentral:tRNA from 5 species